UACAGAGGGUGCAAACGUUGUUCGGAAUUACUGGGCGUAAAGCGCGUGUAGGCGGCUCGGCAAGUCGGGUGUGAAAGCCCUGGGCUUAACCUAGGAAGUGCACUCGAAACUGCCAAGCUUGAGUUCUGGAGAGGAAGGCGGAAUUCUCGGUGUAGAGGUGAAAUUCGUAGAUAUCGAGAGGAACACCGGUGGCGAAGGCGGCCUUCUGGACAGCAACUGACGCUGAGACGCGAAAGCGUGGGGAGCAAACAGG
rnacentral:rRNA from 1 species